GUGACCGACACAGAGUUGUUUCUUCCUUUUCCUCCUUCCCCUCUUUCCCAUUCUCAUCUCCUCCCAUGUCUCAGCCGCUCUCUACACAUGGAAGUGGGCUGCCAGCAGUGGAGGUGCUUGUAAGGGGCUGAAGGUGGCCAAAAGAUGAGGGGUGAUGGCUUCUGCAGCAUCCCUACCCUCUACUGCUCCCGUGUCCUCCCUCUUGCCGGUUGGCAUCGACCUCAUUGGUGGUGUGGACACUUCCAUGGAGAUGUCUUCACUGUGUUUGAUGAAAUGGGUAGAAGGAUGCCGGCGCUAUGAACCUUGAGAGACUUCAUCACUUGCUACUCCCAUCCAAGUAUAUGCACACCAUGUGUGUUGCUGAUAUUUCCACGACAAACUUGACUCCCAGUUGUUGCUUCUCACGGAGCACAUGAAGAAAAGUGGCCUUUCAAAGUGGCCUUUCAAAGAGUGUAUGUUUUGAAUGGUCGAAGCUUGCUAUGUGCGAAAGGCAUAAAUUAAUUUUUGGUAGUGUCUGUUGUGUAUAUGAGGCCACCAAUAUGGAUUAGCGAGUCUGAUGAUGCUGAAUACCGCUGCAAGAUCACAAUAAACUUUGAAAAUGAUGUGCUGCACGGAUGAAGUCGUGGCACCUGCCUGUUCCUGAAGCCAAGAACAUCAAAAUGAAGCGUCCAAUGAAUGCCUACCAGGAAAAGAAGUGUGCUAUUAUGAUUAACAGUGUAGAUAUAUGCUUUGUGUUUUUUUGGAAAGAG